rnacentral:rRNA from 1 species
AGAGUUUGAUCCUGGCUCAGGAUGAACGCUAGCUACAGGCUUAACACAUGCAAGUCGAGGGGCAGCAUUGGAGUAGCAAUACUCAGAUGGCGACCGGCGCACGGGUGAGUAACACGUAUCCAACCUGCCGCUUACUCGGGGAUAGCCUUUCGAAAGAAAGAUUAAUACCCGAUGGUAUAAAGAGUUCGCAUGUUCUCUUUAUUAAAGAAUUUCGGUAAGCGAUGGGGAUGCGUUCCAUUAGAUAGUUGGCGGGGUAACGGCCCACCAAGUCUACGAUGGAUAGGGGUUCUGAGAGGAAGGUCCCCCACAUUGGAACUGAGACACGGUCCAAACUCCUACGGGAGGCAGCAGUGAGGAAUAUUGGUCAAUGGACGAGAGUCUGAACCAGCCAAAAGUAGCGUGAAGGAUGACUGCCCUAUGGGUUAGUAAACUUUCUUUUAUAAGGGAAUAAAGUGAGGGACGUGUCCCUUUUUGUAUGUACCUUAUGAAUAAGGAUCGGCUAACUCCGUGCCAGCCGCGGC